rnacentral:rRNA from 1 species
GGAUUAGAUACCCUGGUAGUCCAUGCCCUAAACGAUGAGAACUUGCUGUUAGGCACAUAAAAGUGCUUAGUAGCGUAGCUAACGCGUUAAGUUCUCCGCCUGGGGAGUACGGCCGCAAGGUUAAAACUCAAAGGAAUUGACGGGGGCCCGCACAAGCGGUGGAGCAUGCGGUUUAAUUCGACGCAACCCGAAAAACCUUACCUACCCUUGAAUCCACGAAGUCUUGCAGAGAUGCAGGAGUGCCUUCGGGAAUCGUGAGACAGGUGCUGCAUGGCUGUCGUCAGCUCGUGCUG